AGCGAACGCUGGCGGCAGGCCUAACACAUGCAAGUCGAACGAACCUUUCGGGGUUAGUGGCGGACGGGUGAGUAACACGUGGGAACGUGCCUUUAGGUUCGGAAUAACUCAGGGAAACUUGUGCUAAUACCGAAUGUGCCCUUCGGGGGAAAGAUUUAUCGCCUUUAGAGCGGCCCGCGUCUGAUUAGCUAGUUGGUUGAGGUAAUGGCUCACCAAGGCGACGAUCAGUAGCUGGUCUGAGAGGAUGAUCAGCCACAUUGGGACUGAGACACGGCCCAAACUCCUACGGGAGGCAGCAGUGGGGAAUCUUGCGCAAUGGGCGAAAGCCUGACGCAGCCAUGCCGCGUGAAUGAUGAAGGUCUUAGGAUUGCAAAAUUCUUUCACCGGGGACGAUAAUGACGGUACCCGGAGAAGAAGCCCCGGCUAACUUCGUG
rnacentral:rRNA from 1 species